rnacentral:rRNA from 1 species
CCUACGGGUGGCAGCAGUGAGGAAUAUUGGUCAAUGGGCGGAAGCCUGAACCAGCCAAGUCGCGUGAGGGAAUAAGGCCCUACGGGUUGUAAACCUCUUUUGUCAGGGAGCAACGCCGGCUACGUGUAGCCGGACUGAGAGUACCUGAAGAAAAAGCAUCGGCUAACUCCGUUCCAGCAGCCGCGGUAAUACGGAGGAUGCGAGCGUUAUCCGGAUUUAGUGGGUUUAAAGGGUGCGUAGGCGGAAUGCCAAGUCAGCGGUAAAAUCGCGUGGCUCAACCUCGCUCCGCCGUUGAAACUGGCGUUCUUGAGUGGGCGAGAAGUAUGCGGAAUGCGUGGUGUAGCGGUGAAAUGCAUAGAUAUCACGCAGAACUCCGAUUGCGAAGGCAGCAUACCGGCGCCCAACUGACGCUGAAGCACGAAAGCGUGGGUAUCGAACAGGAUUAGAUACCCUAGUAGUC